GCACUUUCAAACUUUCUAUCAAAUGAUGACUGAAAAAUAAAUAAUUAACGAUGAAUUUAUAUAUUACAGGCACAGAAUGUCUUGCGAAAUCACCCAACCUUAAUGAGUGUGUGAAGAACGUCGCUCAGGGAGUUUUCAGCAACAUGCAUCUUGGUUUCAAGGAGGUUGGAGUGCCAGUAAUGGAUCCAUUGCAAGUGGUGAAAAUGGACAUAAUCAAUGGACAGGGAUCGGUCGUGUGAACUUGGAAUUGACCAACACGUCGCACUCCGGACUAUCCAAAGUCAUUGUCGACAGAGUUGUAACUGACCCGGAGAAAUACUCGUUGGACCUAUACAUCACAGUCCCCAACUACAACAUUGAAGGACUAUAUAAGGCUAAAGGAAAAAUUAUCGUUCUUCCAAUCCAGGAGAGGGUGACAGCUAUUUCAAAUUCAUGGGAAUCAAAGCAGUUUGGAAGAUAAAGGGCGAACCAAAGGUGAAGAACGGCAAGACUCACAUGAAAAUCACAAAGUUUGACGUGGAAAUCGUUCCCAAGGAUUUGAAAAUGCGACUGGAAAAUCUCUUUAAUGGAAACAAGAAUUAGGAGAGCAAAUGAACAAUUUCCUGAAUCAAAACUGGGAAGAGGUUUACGUGCAGCUGAAGCCGGUCA